rnacentral:lncRNA from 1 species
GAUCGACAUGCACUUGGAUCAUUGCAGUUUCUGGGCCUGCUGUCAUCUCCCCCUUCAGUACUUCCCACAUAUGACUACCAACUGUUAGACGAUGUGCUGCUGCCAGACCAGCCUUUCAUUUCUUGGACAUCCGGCUAUUUACCCAGGAAAAGUCAUCCUUUGACUAUUUUUCAUGACCUUUCUCAUCUGACUCGUGAUCUGCCCAUCUUGUUACUCCCUAGCAGUGUGGUAAGUGAAUUCUUGUUUCUGCCUUAAAUCUACUUCUGUCUCAGCCAAAUUCAUUCUCCCAAGAAGACAAGGAUCGAGGACUGUGGAGCCAACUCAGACUCGCCACGGCUAACAAUGUUUCCUGGGAUCGCCUCCCAAAUAAACUGCUUGUACUUGAACCCUUGUCUCAGAGUUGACUACUGGAAGAACCCCAGAUAAGACAAUCUGCGAGUAGACAUGUCAGAUAAUGCAGUUAGAUAUGAAUCUGGAAUUCAGAGGAGAGGCUCAUGCAAUUUGCAAGUCAUCAUCAAAAAGAUGUCAUUUGUUCUGUUUGUCUACUGCAGGAAGACAGAUUACCCUAAAAUUUAGUGGCUGAAAACAACUCUAUUUUAUCGUAGCUUACAAUUUUGUGGAUUGGGAAUUAGAGCCUGUCUCAUCUGGGCAACUCUUCUGUUCCCCAUGGCAUCACCUGAGGUCACUCCAUGGUAUUCAGCUACCAGACGAACUCAUCUGGAGUAUCCAAGUAUUCAUUCACGCUCAUAUCUGGCACCUUGGCAGGGAUGACUGGAAGCCUGGGCUCAGCUGGGACUGCUGACCAUAGUACCUACAAAUGGCCUCUUCAGCAUGGCUUCUUAAAUGGCUGCUCGGAGCUACCAAGAGACAGGAAGUAGAAGCUGCUAGUUUCUUAAGACCCAGAAAUGGUACAAUUUCAUUCCUGCCAUUGGUCAAAGCAGUCACAGAGCCUUCCAAGAGGAAACACAGACCCUCACUUCUCACUGGGAAGUAUGUCAAAGAGUUUGGGGCUUUUUUUUUGAGAAGGAGUCUUGCUCUGUCGCCCAGGCUGGAGUGCAGUGGCAAGAUCUCGGCUCACUGCAACCUCUGCCUCCCGAAUUCAAGCAAUUCUCCUGCUUUGGCCUCCCAAGUAGCUGGGAUUACAGGCAUGCGCCACCACACCCGGCUAAUUUUUUUGUAUUUUUAGUGGAGACGGGGUUUCACCAUAUGGGCCAGGCUGGUCUCGAACUCCUGACCUUGUGAUUCACCUGCCUCAGCCUCCCAAAGUGCUGGGAUUACAGACGUAAGCCACUGCGCCCAGCCCUGGGGCUGUCUUUAAUCCACUACAACAUUGCAAAGCUGUGAGCCAGGAUGAGAACGCCAGAGGUAUGAAUGUGGAUUAAAAGUCCAAGCACUGAAACUUUCAAUGUUUAGAGACCAGUGAGAGAAAGAACCAGCAACAGAGACUCAGAACUAUAUCAUAUUCUGCUGAUAAGCCAAUAAGAUGAUAAUGAUAACUAAGAAUUGACAUUGGCUUUAGUGAUGUAGACAUAAUUGGGGACCUUGACAAGAGCAGUUUACUGGGGGUGGUUGAGUUGAAACUUUGAUUGUUUCAAGAGAGAAUGGAAUGAGUGGAAAGAUAGUUUGUGAGUGCUAGCAAUUAUUCAGAGAAUUUCUGCUAUAAAUGGGAGCAGGAGGAUGUAUCAGGAGCUAAUGGGAGAAAUGAGGUCAACAUUAUUUCCUAUGUAGCUUUCUCUUAUGCCCAAAUUCCACUGGAUAUCAUCCACUUCUGGUUACUUCUGGUUUGGGAUGUAUAGGUGAAGGAAUAGUUUUGGAUCCUCCUUUAUUACCUGUUUUAUUUGCAUAAUUGGACAAUAACUAAACUUGCUUUAAAUAUCUCUUAAAGCAUUUUAAAUUCAAAUUUGGAGAGAGGAAUAUGAGAGUGGUUUUUGGUCAUUGUUUAGCCAUAUACAAUAUUGUCUUACCUUCUGCAUUUGAAGUUUUUGAUACCUGAUAAAUGUUUGUAUUGUGUAGUUGAACAAGAAUUUGCCACAUGAAGGUUUACAGUUGUAGUUUUAUGUUAAGUUCUUUACAGUAGUCCCCUCUCAUCUUUAUCCCCCACUUGGAACUAUCUACAGUAGUUCCAGGACCCCCCUCCCAGUGGAUGAUUGAAACCAUGGAUAGUACCAAACCCUAUAUACAUAUUAUGUUUUUCCUAUACAUACAUACCUAUGAUGUUUAAUUUCUAAAUUAGGCGGAGUAAGAGAUGAACAACAACUAAUAAUGUAAUAGAACAGUUGUAACAAUAUACUAUAAUAAGAGCUACAUGAAUGUGGUUUCUCCCUCUCAAAAUGUGUUACUGUACUCACCUAUCUUUGGUCCAUGGUUGUCUGUGGGUGACUGAAACUGCAUAUAAGGCAGGGGACUACUGUAACCACAGGUGUUGGAAGGCAGCAUAGCAGAGUAGUUAGGGUCAGGACUGCGGAGGAAGACUGCCUAGGUUCAUAUUAUGAUGUAAACUCUCCAUGCCUCACUUUUCUUAUCUAAUGCGGAGAUAAUAAUAGUAACUCAUUUGUAAAGUUAUUAUAAGUAUUAAAUGAGAAAAUACAUGUAAGACACUUAGAGUAUCACAGGUCAUCACUUACUUAGUAUGUAGUAAGUAUUUGAUGAGGUUAGUUACUAUUCUUAUUGAGCAGUGAAUCAGUUAGGAAUGCUUUCGGCUGCAAGGAGGAGAAUACUGAUUUACAGUGGCCUCAGUGAGAAGCCUGCAUUUCUCUCACAGAGCAGGCACUGCAGAGGUAGGCAGCUGCUAAAACAGGUUCCUUUCUACAGCUCCAGGGGUCUGAGUUGGCCACUCUUCAGUUCCCUCGGACCUCCCCUGUUGUUUGCCACACCACCAAUCAUCACAUUCUCAAAGGCAUUCAAGGCAGAAAGCUGGGAACAAGGAAGGGCGGAGAGUUUCUCUUCAGGAGCCUCCCUCUUACUAGAGAAGAAAAAAACCUGCCUUUUAUGGGUUCUUUUGUCUUGUUUUUCAUGACUGUCUUCAUUUGAGAAAGUCCUCAGGCCAAGAAAUGGAGGUGCUGGCAGUUGGAGAUCAGGCUGUCCAUAGCACACUGAUGUGGCACAGGCAAGGAAUAUGGCUGAGGCACCAAUUUGCUGCUACUGCUGUCUAACAGGCAUUGGAAGUCUUAUGUGUUCAAAAAUAAACUUCUGAUUUCUACUCCCAAA